UGUUCUGUGGCGAAGUAAGUUGGUUAACGUGCCCUGUCUAGCGAACUUGGGGAGAUGUGGGUUCAAACCCCACCAGAACUA
rnacentral:tRNA from 1 species